rnacentral:rRNA from 1 species
AGUGGGGAAUAUUGGACAAUGGGCGCAAGCCUGAUCCAGCCAUGCCGCGUGAGUGAUGAAGGCCCUAGGGUUGUAAAGCUCUUUUGUGCGGGAAGAUAAUGACUGUACCGCAAGAAUAAGCCCCGGCUAACUUCGUGCCAGCAGCCGCGGUAAUACGAAGGGGGCUAGCGUUGCUCGGAAUCACUGGGCGUAAAGCGCACGUAGGCGGACUCUUAAGUCGGUGGUGAAAUCCUGGAGCUCAACUCCAGAACUGCCUUCGAUACUGGGAGUCUCGAGUUCGGGAGAGGUGAGUGGAACUGCGAGUGUAGAGGUGAAAUUCGUAGAUAUUCGCAAGAACACCAGUGGCGAAGGCGGCUCACUGGCCCGAUACUGACGCUGAGGUGCGAAAGCGUGGGGAGCAAA